UACGUAGGGUGCAAGCGUUGUCCGGAAUUAUUGGGCGUAAAGAGCUCGUAGGCGGCUCGGUAAGUCAGGUGUGAAACCUCCAGGCUCAACCUGGAGACGCCACCUGAUACUGCUGUGGCUAGAGUCCGGUAGGGGAGCGUGGAAUUCCUGGUGUAGCGGUGAAAUGCGCAGAUAAUCAGGAGGAACACCAGCGGCGAAGGGCGGCGCUCUGGGCCGGAACUGACGCUGAGGAGCGAAAGCGUGGGUAGCAAACAGG
rnacentral:rRNA from 1 species